rnacentral:piRNA from 1 species
UAGAAAAAUUGUACCUGCAUAGUUUAG